rnacentral:tRNA from 1 species
GCGGGGGUCGCCAAGCCUGGCCAACGGCGCGGGGCUUAGGACCCCGUCCUGUAGAGGUUCGAGGGUUCAAAUCCCUCCCCCCGCACCA